UUGAUCUCAAAUCAGGCAGGACUACCCGCUGAACUUAAGCAUAUCAAUAAGCGGAGGAAAAGAAACUAACAAGGAUUCCCCUAGUAACUGCGAGUGAAGCGGGAAGAGCUCAAAUUUUAAAUCUGGCGUGCCUCUGGUCGUCCGAGUUGUAGUCUGGAGAAGCGUUUUCCGUGUUGGACCGUGUACAAGUCCCUUGGAACAGGGCGUCAUAGAGGGUGAGAAUCCCGUCUUUGACACGGACUACCAAUGCUUUGUGAUGCGCUCUCAAAGAGUCGAGUUGUUUGGGAAUGCAGCUCAAAAUGGGUGGUAAAUUCCAUCUAAAGCUAAAUACAGGCGAGAGA
rnacentral:rRNA from 1 species